rnacentral:rRNA from 1 species
GACGACGCUGGCGGCGUGGAUUAGGCAUGCAAGUCGAACGGUAUCAUCCUUCGGGGGUGAGAGAGUGGCGAACUGGUGAGUAACACGUAGGUUAUCUACCCUCAAGACGGGGACAACCCAGGGAAACUUGGGCUAAUACCGGAUGUGAGCAACUUUUAGUUGUUUGAAAGGUGGCGUAAGCUGUCGCUUGGGGAUGAGCCUGCGUCCUAUUAGUUAGUUGGUGAGGUAACGGCUCACCUAGGCAAUGAUAGGUAGGCGGCCUUAACGGGUGGUCGCCCACACUGGGAUUGAGAUACGGCCCAGACUCCUACGGGAGGCAGCAGUCGAGAAUAGUCUACAAUGGUCGGAAGACUGAUAGUGCGACGCCGCGUGAACGAUGAAUCCCUUCGGGGUGUAAAGUUCUUUUAUAUGUGAGCAGUGCUUCUUAUAUUAACAGUAUGGGGAGAGAGAUAUUAGCAUAUGAAUAGGCAACGGCUAACUCCGUG